UACGUAGGUGGCGAGCGUUGUCCGGAUUUAUUGGGUUUAAAGGGUGCGUAGGCGGUCUUUUAAGUCAGUGCUGAAAUAUCCCGGCUUAACCGGGAGGGUGGCAUUGAUACUGAAGGACUUGAGUUCAGUCGAGGUAGGCGGAAUUGACGGUGUAGCGGUGAAAUGCUUAGAUAUCGUCAAGAACACCGAUAGUGUAGACAGCUUACUAGGCUGAAACUGACGCUGAGGCACGAAAGUGUGGGGAUCAAACAGG
rnacentral:rRNA from 1 species